rnacentral:rRNA from 1 species
GACGAACGCUGGCGGCGUGCUUAACACAUGCAAGUCGAACGGAAAGGCCCUGCUUUUGUGGGGUGCUCGAGUGGCGAACGGGUGAGUAACACGUGAGUAACCUGCCCUUGACUUUGGGAUAACUUCAGGAAACUGGGGCUAAUACCGGAUAGGAGCUCCUGCUGCAUGGUGGGGGUUGGAAAGUUUCGGCGGUUGGGGAUGGACUCGCGGCUUAUCAGCUUGUUGGUGGGGUAGUGGCUUACCAAGGCUUUGACGGGUAGCCGGCCUGAGAGGGUGACCGGCAACAGUGGGACUGAGAUACGGCCCAGACUCCUACGGGAGGCAGCAGGGGGGAAAAUUGGAAAAUGGGCGGAAGCCUGAUGGAGCAACGCCGCGUGCGGGAUGACGGCCUUCGGGUUGUAAACCGCUUUCGCCUGUGACGAAGCGUGAGGGACGGUAAUGGGUAAAGAAGCACCGGCUAACUACGUG